AGAGUUUGAUCAUGGCUCAGAUUGAACGCUGGCGGCAGGCCUAACACAUGCAAGUCGAACGGUAACAGGAAGCAGCUUGCUGCUUUGCUGACGAGUGGCGGACGGGUGAGUAAUGUCUGGGAAACUGCCUGAUGGAGGGGGAUAACUACUGGAAACGGUAGCUAAUACCGCAUAACGUCGCAAGACCAAAGAGGGGGACCUUCGGGCCUCUUGCCAUCGGAUGUGCCCAGAUGGGAUUAGCUAGUAGGUGGGGUAAAGGCUCACCUAGGCGACGAUCCCUAGCUGGUCUGAGAGGAUGACCAGCCACACUGGAACUGAGACACGGUCCAGACUCCUACGGGAGGCAGCAGUGGGGAAUAUUGCACAAUGGGCGCAAGCCUGAUGCAGCCAUGCCGCGUGUAUGAAGAAGGCCUUCGGGUUGUAAAGUACUUUCAGCGGGGAGGAAGGGAGUAAAGUUAAUACCUUUGCUCAUUGACGUUACCCGCAGAAGAAGCACCGGCUAACUCCGUGCCAGCAGCCGCGGUAAUACGGAGGGUGCAAGCGUUAAUCGGAAUUACUGGGCGUAAAGCGCACGCAGGCGGUUUGUUAAGUCAGAUGUGAAAUCCCCGGGCUCAACCUGGGAACUGCAUCUGAUACUGGCAAGCUUGAGUCUCGUAGAGGGGGGUAGAAUUCCAGGUGUAGCGGUGAAAUGCGUAGAGAUCUGGAGGAAUACCGGUGGCGAAGGCGGCCCCCUGGACGAAGACUGACGCUCAGGUGCGAAAGCGUGGGGAGCAAACAGGAUUAGAUACCCUGGUAGUCCACGCCGUAAACGAUGUCGACUUGGAGGUUGUGCCCUUGAGGCGUGGCUUCCGGAGCUAACGCGUUAAGUCGACCGCCUGGGGAGUACGGCCGCAAGGUUAAAACUCAAAUGAAUUGACGGGGGCCCGCACAAGCGGUGGAGCAUGUGGUUUAAUUCGAUGCAACGCGAAGAACCUUACCUGGUCUUGACAUCCACGGAAGUUUUCAGAGAUGAGAAUGUGCCUUCGGGAACCGUGAGACAGGUGCUGCAUGGCUGUCGUCAGCUCGUGUUGUGAAAUGUUGGGUUAAGUCCCGCAACGAGCGCAACCCUUAUCCUUUGUUGCCAGCGGUCCGGCCGGGAACUCAAAGGAGACUGCCAGUGAUAAACUGGAGGAAGGUGGGGAUGACGUCAAGUCAUCAUGGCCCUUACGGCCAGGGCUACACACGUGCUACAAUGGCGCAUACAAAGAGAAGCGACCUCGCGAGAGCAAGCGGACCUCAUAAAGUGCGUCGUAGUCCGGAUUGGAGUCUGCAACUCGACUCCAUGAAGUCGGAAUCGCUAGUAAUCGUGGAUCAGAAUGCCACGGUGAAUACGUUCCCGGGCCUUGUACACACCGCCCGUCACACCAUGGGAGUGGGUUGCAAAAGAAGUAGGUAGCUUAACCUUCGGGAGGGCGCUUACCACUUUGUGAUUCAUGACUGGGGUGAAGUCGUAACAAGGUAACCGUAGGGGAACCUGCGGUUG
rnacentral:rRNA from 1 species